rnacentral:rRNA from 1 species
AGCGAACGCUGGCGGCAGGCUUAACACAUGCAAGUCGAGCGGGCAUCCUUGUGGUGUCAGCGGCAGACGGGUGAGUAACGCGUGGGAACGUGCCCUUCGUUUCGGAAUAACUCAGGGAAACUUGAGCUAAUACCGGAUACGUGCGAGAGCAGAAAGGUUUAUCUGCCGAAGGAUCGGGCCGCGUCUGAUUAGCUAGUUGGUGAGGUUAUGGCUCACCAAGGCGACGAUCAGUAGCUGGUCUGAGAGGAUGAUCAGCCACACUGGGACUGAGACACGGCCCAGACUCCUACGGGAGGCAGCAGUGGGGAAUAUUGGAAAAUGGGGGCAACCAUGAUCCAGCCAUGCCGCGUGAGUGAUGACGGCCUUAGGGUUGUAAAGCUCUUUUCUCCGGGACGAUAAUGACGGUACCGGAGGAAUAAGCCCCGGCUAACUUCGUG